CCCCUCUCAGGGUUGCACCUGGAGAGUUUCUAGUACUCUAUCAGUCUCAACUGUGGGAGGAAGAGUCAAGCAGAGGCAUACCCAUUACAUUCCUAGCUUGGGCAGUGGCCAGCGAGUGGAAGGCAAUCCGCUACAAGU
rnacentral:snoRNA from 2 species